GAUGAACGCUGGCGGCGUGCCUAAUACAUGCAAGUCGAGCGAACGGACGAGAAGCUUGCUUCUCUGAUGUUAGCGGCGGACGGGUGAGUAACACGUGGAUAACCUACCUAUAAGACUGGGAUAACUUCGGGAAACCGGAGCUAAUACCGGAUAAUAUUUUGAACCGCAUGGUUCAAAAGUGAAAGACGGUCUUGCUGUCACUUAUAGAUGGAUCCGCGCUGCAUUAGCUAGUUGGUAAGGUAACGGCUUACCAAGGCAACGAUGCAUAGCCGACCUGAGAGGGGGAGCGGCCACACUGGAACUGGAACACGGUCCCGAGUCCUACGGGAGGCAGCAGUAGGGAAGCGUCGACAAUGGGCGAAAGCCGGACACAGCAACGCCGAGUGAGAGAUAAAGGUCUUCGGAUCGGAAAACCCGGUUAUGAGGGAAAAACAGAUGCGUAAGGAAAUGCGCACAGCGCGACGGUACCUAAUCAGAAAGCCACGGCUAACUACGGG
rnacentral:rRNA from 1 species